AUACUUACCUGGCAAGGGAGAUACUGUGAUCAAGAAGGCAGUUCACCAGGGCGAGGCUCAGCCAUUGCACUCCGGCUGUGCUGACCCCCUGCGAAUUUCCCAAAUGUGGAAAUCUCGAUUGCAUAAUUAUGGUAGUGGGGGACUGCGUUCGCGCUCCUCCCCU
rnacentral:snRNA from 1 species